rnacentral:rRNA from 1 species
CCUACGGGAGGCAGCAGUGGGGAAUAUUGCACAAUGGGGGAAACCCUGAUGCAGCGACGCCGCGUGAGUGAAGAAGUAAUUCGGUAUGUAAAGCUCUGUCAGCAGGGAAGAAAAUGACGUUACCUGAGUAAGAAGCCCCGGCUAACUACGUGCCAGCAGCCGCGGUAAUACGUCGGGGGCAAGCGUUAGCCGGAUUUACUGGGGGUAAAGGGAGCGUAGACGGCAGUGCAAGUCUGGAGUGAAAGGCGGGGGCUCAACCCCCGGACUGCUCUGGAAACUGUACGGCCGGAGUGCAGGAGAGGUAAGUGGAAUUCCUGGUGUAGCGGUGAAAUGCGUAGAUAUUAGGAGGAACACCAGUGGCGAAGGCGGCUUACUGGACUGUAACUGACGUUGAGGCUCGAAAGCGUGGGGAGCAAACAGGAUUAGAUACCCUUGUAGUC